rnacentral:rRNA from 1 species
AGUGAACGCUGGCGGCGUGCUUAACACAUGCAAGUCGAACGAGAACGGGUUAUAGCUUGCUAUAAUUGUCAGCUAAGUGGCGCACGGGUGAGUAAUGUAUAGGUAAUAUGCCUCUUACUAAGGGAUAACAAAUGGAAACGUUUGCUAAUACCUUAUACUCCUUAUUAACAGAAGUUAAUAAGGGAAAGAUUUAUUGGUAAGAGAUUAGCCUGUAUUGUAUCAGUUAGUUGGUGGGGUAAUGGCCUACCAAGACUAUGACACAUAACUGGUUUGAGAGGAUGAUCAGUCACACUGGAACUGAGACAUGGUCCAGACUCCUACGGGAGGCAGCAGUGGGGAAUAUUGCACAAUGGACGAAAGUCUGAUGCAGCAACGCCGCGUGGAGGAUGACACAUUUCGGUGCGUAAACUCCUUUUAUAUGAGAAGAUAAUGACGGUAUUAUAUGAAUAAGCACCGGCUAACUCCGUGCCAGCCGCCGCAGUAA